GACGAACGCUGGCGGCGUGCUUAACACAUGCAAGUCGAACGGAGUGGCGAACGGGUGAGUAACACGUGGGUGACCUGCCCUGCACUUCGGGAUAAGCCUGGGAAAUUGGGUCUAAUACCGGAUAGUGUGGGAUGGGCGCGCGGCCUAUCAGCUUGUUGGUGGGGUAAUGGCUUACCAAGGCGGCGUCGGGUAGCCGGCCUGCGAGGAGGGACGGCCACAUUGGGACUGCAACACAGCCCAGACGUCUACGGAAGGGAGCAGUGGGGAAUAUUGCACGAUGGGCGGAAGCGUGAUGCAGCAACGCCGCGUGGGAGAUAACGGCCUUCGGGUUGAAAACUCCUUUCACCAUCGACACGGUAGAUGGAGAAGAAGCACCGGCUAACUACGUGCCAACAGCCGCAGUAAUAC
rnacentral:rRNA from 1 species